GUGAAUCAUCGAAUCUUUGAACGCACAUUGCGCCCCUUGGUAUUCCAUGGGGCAUGCCUGUUCGAGCGUCAUUUGUACCUUCAAGCUCUGCUUGGUGUUGGGUGUUUGUUCUGCUGUGCGCAUGAACUCGCCUCAAAUCAAUUGGCAGCCGGCAAUUUGGUGUUUGAGCGCAGCACAUUUUGCGCUCUUCGCUCUAUUGUGGCGUCCAUGAAGCCACCUUUAUGCGCUUGACCUCGGAUCAGGUAGGGAUACCCGCUGAACUUAAGCAUAUCAAUAAGCGGAGGA
rnacentral:misc_RNA from 1 species